UGCUGUUUGCUUGAGAGCUUCCUGCGUUUUCUGCGUCCUUUGUGUGCUUCGCUGUGACAUCUUUGGAAUAUUCCUGCGUGCUGCUCGCUUUUUAUGGGCUUGUUGCCUCGAAGAGCGCCAUGAUCGCCUCCGACUCAGCGACAUUAAGGAUUCAAAAUGAGCUGAGAGACACCCAAGCUGGAAUGCUAAAGGUUCACAUACGCUGUAAGAGUGCACAUUGAGAAGGUUAUCCUGGCCCAGCUUACCAUGGCCUGCCAUGGUGGACCAGGAAAGUUUGCAAGGGCCUUGCUUCACCAUGUGUUCACAGAGGAGGAGCUCAUGGGCCAUUUGGGCUUUGGAAAUAACACCAAGGGGCAACAGAGGCUCUUGACCCCAUCAGGGUCAGUGCUGUUAUAGGCUUCACGUGUCGCAAAUUUCCUGGUACCAACAUGCCCUAUGUAAAGAACUCCGGCCUCGCUUCUCGCAUGGGACCCUGCCCCUGAAGCAACUGCCCCUGCCCCUUCACCUCUGAAGAGCCCAAGUUGGACAGCUCAAACCAAAACACAAGUGUUGUGCUUUUGUGACUCUCGACAUUUUUAUGUUUUAUGUUAGUCUCCUGAAGGGCCAAUUUGGAUUUCUCAAAUGAGCAUACAAAUGUUGUGCCUUCCUAUGCCUUGACAUUUUUAUGUUAAUUUUAUUUAUGUUAACUUUGCUAGUCUCCUGAGAAGCCCACAUUGGAUUGCUCAAUCCAGAAUACAAGUGCUGUGCUUUGUUAUAGUUCACUACAUUUUUAUGUUAGUUUUUGAUAUGGUUCCAGUAAGGAUAGUGUUUCCUUAUUAAUAUAUUUUUUAAGUAGCUUAAGUCAUUUCAUGCCAAACCACCCAACAAUUUUCUCAAGAACUGUUCCAUUAUGGCAAACCAUUUCAAGUUUGCUUGAUUUUGAGUAGGUACAACGAGAAAAUUUUUGAGAAAAUUUGCUUUCAUACAUACUCUUAAGUAAUUCCAGGGCAACCAACCAGCGUUUUUUUGGCCAUCACAGAUAUAGUUGAAGCUCCGAACUCUUGCUCCCCAUUUAUUUUCCUUCCCAAAAAUUUUUUUGAAUUUUGGCAAAAAUUUAUUGUUCUUGCCCAGCUAAGCUAGAAGCCACUGAUACACGUUUCUUCUGAAAGGGAAAUUGUAUGAUCCAGAUAUUCAGGUGGUGUUCAUGUCAAGAGACUGAAGUGGUGUGACUGCCAAAAUUUGCAAAGUUUGAAUUUUCUUCUAACGUAGGGAAAUACAGAAGGCACAAAAUGAAUAUAAAAUCAGACUGGUUGACUUGGGAUAGCAGCAAAAUAUUUCAAGCCUUGGAGGUUCAGUUGAUCAGUUAAAAAAACUGUAACAUUGAAAUUUUUUGCAAGCUUCGUGUUGAAGGUAAAAAAUUAGCUUUGGUGGUUGGCACAAAACUAUGUCACCCAUCAUUACACAGCCGUACAUGUCUGCUAUGCAUGUGACAAGUAACAAAAAGUGAUUAUUCUUUAAGUGCGAUAAGGUAUUUUUAUAAUGUUCCUUUGUGGAUCACACAUACAGCAUAAAUAUAGCAUAAAUAUAUGAAGCCAUGUCAUCUAGCAAGGAAAGGUUGUUAAUAUAUUAGCCACAAGAACUACUCAACAAACUGACUUGCCUUUUUUAUCAUUACGAAGGCAGGUGACGUCAAGCGCUGCUGCUGCAGUCUCAGCUCGUAUUUUUUUAACAUGAACGCAAAAAGUGGUCGCCAAUGGUGUCUGACCACAUCAGACUGAACAUGGCACAUAUGACUUUUAUAGAUGAGCAUGUUCCAGCUCUGAAACAGUGGUAGCAAACAACACCACAAGAAUUUGUUCAUACUCAUGUAGGUUUUCAGUCUUAAUUAUGAAGGUGUUUUCUACUUGCAUCAUCAUUGGGCUUCAGGGAGCAGGGCACAAAGUGUCCUGCUCCCUCUAUGUUGCAUUGCAAUGCGACAUGCCCUUUAGGAUGCUUUGUAUGAACAAUAUCAGUGCUCUUUAUAGAUUUACUGUCUACAUAAUAGCUGAUAUUUCUUUUUCUAAACUGCAUGAAACAUAUUUUUUAGCACUGCAGGAUUCCCUCACAUAUUUAUUACGUACGAGGUCUGUUAGAAAAGUAUUCGACCUUUUUUUGCGAACACCUGAUGAAUAUGAAACAAGCGCGUUUUCAUCAGCCACCCUUGAACCUUUGUGCGCAUGCAUGAAUUUUUUCCCACCUGCCAAUAGCGUGAAUUGCUGGGACGCAGCGUUUGAAUGAGGUAGUACAGUGCUCUCGUCGGUUUUUAUUGCAAGGAAAAUGGCAGAGCGACUGGAGCAGUGCUACUGCAUCAAAUUUUGACAGAAACUGGGCGACAGCCAAGUGGAAACCAUCUGGAAGAUUCAGACUGCUUUCGGUGACUGUGCUAUGAGCAGCACACAGAUUAAGGAGUGGUACAACCAGUUUAAAGACGGCCACACAUCGGUGGAGAGCGAGCCACGCUCCAGUCGGCCAUCAACAUGCUGAAAUGACCAGGUCAUUGCCGAAGUGAACCCCGUGGUGAUGCGGGACCGUCGUGUAACUAUCCAAGAAAUUGCGGAAGAGGUGGGCAUCAGCACAUUUUAUCCACAUUCCAUUAUCACCGAAGAUUUGGCCAUGAAGAGAGUUGCGCCGAAAUUCGUUCGCAAGCUGCUCAUGGUGGAGCAAAAGCAACUUCGUGUUGAAGUCUCACAGACAUGCUGGAUUCCACAAACAGUGACCCCAACUUCAUGAACACCAUAAUCACUUGUGACAAGUCUUGGGUGUAUGUUUACGACCUGGAAACCAAAUCCCAGUCGACUGGGAUGUUUACGACCUGGAAACAUCCCAGUCGUUACAGUGGAAGCAUUCCACGUCGCCAACCAAAGACCGCUAAGUGUGCAGCAACGUCAAAGUGUUGCUGACUGCUUUCUUUGACUCCCGCAGUGUGGUACACCACGGAUACACACCACAGGGUCAAACAAUCACUAAAGACUACUACAGGGAUGUCCUCCAUGGCCUAUGUGAUGCUGUAUGGAGCAAGAUACCGAAGUUGUCAACAGGAAAUUGGCACAUCCAUCACGACAAUGCUUUUCUCGCACUUGAUUCAGACUUUUUUGGCGCAAAACCAGACUCCUGUAGUUCGACAGGCUCCUUGCUCUCCUGAUAUGGCGGCCUGCAACAUCUGGCUGUUUCCCAAAAUCAAGGGGCCAUUGAAACAAGCGUGAUUUCAGACAAGAGAAGACAUUAUGGCUGCAACGACAGCUGAGCUAAAGUCCAUUUGGAAAGAGGCCUUCUCGGAAUGCUUCUAACAAUGGCAGCACCGCUGGGAGAAGUGGCUGGAUUCCCAAGGAGACUACUUUGAGGGUGAUUAGGUUUCCAACACUUCAGUUAUGCCAGUUUUUUUUCUUCAGCCAAAGGUCGGAUACUCUUCUAACAGACCUCGUAUUGAUAUUUUAUGUGCAAUGGCUGUAUGGUUUACCUGGCCCACACCAAACACAA